rnacentral:rRNA from 1 species
GACGAACGCUGGCGGCGUGCUUAACACAUGCAAGUCGAACGGUAAGGCCCUUCGGGGUACACGAGUGGCGAACGGGUGAGUAACACGUGGGUGAUCUGCCCUGCACUUCGGGAUAAGCCUGGGAAACUGGGUCUAAUACCGGAUAGGACCACUGCCUGCAUGGGUGGUGGUGGAAAGCUUUUGCGGUGUGGGAUGGGCCCGCGGCCUAUCAGCUUGUUGGUGGGGUGAUGGCCUACCAAGGCGACGACGGGUAGCCGGCCUGGGAGGGUGACCGGCAACACUGGGACUGAGAUACGGACCAGACUCCUACGGAAGGCAGCAGUGGGGAAUAUUGCACAAGGGGCGCAAGCCUGCUGCAGGGACGCGGCGGGAGGGAUGACGGCCUUCGGGUUGUAAACCUCUUUCAGCACCGACGAAGCGCAAGUGACGGUAGGUGCAGAAGAAGGACCGGCCAACUACGUGCCAGCCGCCGCGGUAA